rnacentral:rRNA from 1 species
GACGAACGCUGGCGGCGUGCCUAAUACAUGCAAGUCGAACGCAGUGGGGACGGGUGAGUAACACGUGGGUAACCUCCCGUCAGAGGGGAUAACCCUUGGCAACAGGUGCUAAACCGCAACUGAUGGAUGGACCCGCGGUGCAUUAGCUGGUUGGUGGGGUAACGGCUCACCAAGGCCACGAUGCAUAGCCGAUCUGAGAGGGUGAUCGGCCACACUGGGACUGAGACCCGGCCCAGACUCCUACGGGAGGCAGCAGUAGGGAAUCUUGGUCAAUGGACGAAAGUCUGACCGAGCAACGCGGCGUGAGUGAAGAAGGUUUUCGGAUCGUAAAACUCUGUUGGUAGAGAAGCGGUAUCUAACCAGAAAGCAACGGCUAACUACGUGCCAGCAGCCGCGGUAAUAC